AUCUUUGUCAGCAGGUUGGGUGAAGAAGAGGCAUAUAACAGAUAAUUGAAGGGACAUGCUUUGCAGCUUCAAAUUCAUCUGCAUGGCAUCCAGCCACAGCCACACGGUGAUGGCGAUAAAAUGUGGAUGUGGGAAACAUCAGCUUCCACUUUGCAAAAGCUUAAGAGCCGGCAAUUGAUUGAAUGGAAUGAGAAGAUGAAGAGAAUUAGAAGUGAUAUUCCUAAGGUGUUCUGCAGACCAACACACCAGACAGAAGACAUGGAUUAAGAAGAAAGAAUGAAAAA
rnacentral:lncRNA from 1 species